rnacentral:tRNA from 1 species
UGGGGUGUAGCCAAGUGGUAAGGCAGCGGUUUUUGGUACCGCCAUCCCUAGGUUCGAAUCCUAGCACCCCAGCCA